UUGAAGAUGAUGAUGAUUUUUGUAAAUACUUAACCUACAUUGUUAAAUAAACCUGUGAUAUUUCAGGACACAUAAUAACAAUUACUUUUUAAUUACUUCAAAAACCAAACGCAGCUGGUAAGUAAUCCAAAAUAAGAUCCAGACUUGUUUUGGCCUAUACUUUAGGUGACACACAAUAGUAGGUAUGCAUUAAUUUUGCAUAUAGAAAUAUACCGGGAACAUUGACAUAUCAGUGAAACACUCCAGUAAACUUUAGUCAUUUUCGGUUAUUUGCUUAAUUAUGUUAUUGUAUGAACUAUCAAUCAAAGUGAUAGUCAUAGCACUUUGUUGGUUAUCAGGCGAAAGUGUUCUCAUGCUCAAUGUCACUGAAGGAUAUAAUUUUCCUGCUUAGAGGUGCAAUAACAGCACCGUUGUUGUGCAUUAUCAUUAAUGAAUGUCACAUGUUUGCAUAUAAUAAGACUUCAGUAUCAUCUUUCUGUCAGAGAGCAGAAUAUCCUCAAACUUAAAUUCAGAAAGAAGGCAUGCAUGAAUGAUGAGUAAAAGCCGAAGAUUUCAAUGCAGUCAUGGCUAAGACCUUGUCUUCUUCAAGUAUUUUGUUCUCGCUGGAUGACUUUUCCUGCAAAUAACACAUCAACAUCAUUUUCGUCAAAAAAAAUAAAAAAAAAUCAACAUCAUCAUUUUCAUUGUAAGUUAAAAAAUCAGCAGUAAUUUAGAAAAAUAUAUCUGUGCUGGUAUGGUACUGUACUGUACAGCAGUCUAUGCUAAAGUUUAUGUUUUACAUGUUUUAGCUUUUUCAUAUUAUUUUUGGUUUUUUAAUUAGAUGUGUAUAUAUAGCUUAUACACUUAUCGGUUAAUACAAUGAUCUAAUUAUCACAGGGCCUGAGGGACGUGCACCACCACGCCGGAAAGGGGAAGAAAGCUCUGCAUUGACCCGCAUACAAGAUGACUUGUUCCUGAGAGUAGUUGAUGAGACGCUUACUCAGGCUCGAGCCAAUCCCGAGCAGUUCUCUCUCACACCAGAGCAGGUCCGUGUUUUAGCACGUGAAGCUGUAGAAGCUGAGAAGACUUCUCUUCCUGCUGACCAUCCAAUUGCAAAAGAAACACAAGCAGCAAUUAUCCAAGUGGCAGUAGAAGUACUGAACAAUUUGUAUAAAACAAACGAACCUGGAGCUGAUAAGGGCAAGGUUAUCGACACCGGGGAUGAAGAUGAUGUUGAUAAAGCCGGAAGUGGGAAUGAGAGCACGGACUCCGAAGACCGUGACAUGAGUCAUCCAUAUGUUGUUGUCUCUAGGGGAGGUCCGGUUAUUAAGGGUUAAUAUUAAGUUGUGUGAAUGUAAUUGAAUUUGUGGGGCUGUUUUUGGAUGUUUUAAUCCUAUGUUUGUGUAUGACUAUGUUUUUGGGAUGUUUUAGUCUUUUGUUGGUGUAUGAAUAUGUGUUUGGGAUGUUUUGUUAAUGAAAACUAUGUUAUUAUGGAUUUUGAUUA